GGCCAAUAAUAUCAGUAUCCGAGUUAAGGCUAGCAGCUAAGAUGGGCUUAUGUUACCCUCAGAAUGACCUCACCCCUAUGGUACCGCUAUCAUGGAGCUGCUGCGAGGAUCCCUUUUUUUGUUUGUUUGUUUGAGACACGGUUUCUCUGUGUAAAACAGUCCUAUCUGUCUUGGAACUCUCUCUGUAGACCAGGCUGGCCUUGAACUCACAGAGAUCUGCCCACUUCUGCCUCACAAGUGCUGGGAUUAAAGACAUGCGCCACUGCCACCAGGGCUAGGAUCUCUUUUAACAGACGGGGAACCAGGGGCCAGAAGAGGUGUGGGCCACACUGUCUGUCAACAGGGAGGCCAGGGUCCGGAACACAGCAAACACACAGACUGUGUUCAGAGACUCUGGGAGGAUACCAGCACGCAGAGGGACCCUCGUUCUGCAGGAGAAGAAUCCCAUUGAUGGUGGACUCUCCAACUAGUGGAGCUGAUUUCUGAAGAUUUGGUCUCAGAAGGAUGGAGGAAUGGGCAUGAAUGAGCCUGUCGCUGUAAGGACAUAAACAUUUUUAAAAAGCUUUGCUUGGUCAGGAGCUGGUUAAGACACAGGCCUUGAGCUCUUUGCAGCAUCAGGAGUUAGCUGGAAACAGGAAUCUUUGCGAAAGUGCAGACCAACUGUCCCUAGUAGUUAAGUCCCCUGUCGACACCCAGCUUUGUGGUCUAGACAGGAGCAGAAAUAACUGCUUAGGGGGAAGGCGGGGGGGGGGGGGGGGGGCAUGAACAGAAGUAGAAGGAGUCCAUUCCCUGCACUCAGUAAAACCAACCCCUUUGACCCUAAGUAAACCUGGCUUGCGGUUUUUGCCUAUAUAUGUCAACCCCAAAUGAGGAACGGGAGCUCUCCCUACUACACUGCAUUCACAUGUAAUGGAGAACUCCCAGCUAGCUGGGAAGAAUUAAACCUGGCUUUUGCAUUCUGGACUUGACUGGAUUCUGGUGGUCUCUCUGGGGGUCUCUCAACUUGGGCACAACGUGAGCCUGUCACCACCUCCUAGAAAGUUCAGGAUGAGCCUUGCAGGGAUGUGGUAGGACAAGGGAAGAGCUCUGGGUUAGUAUCCUGCUGUCCCUAGCCACAGAAUUUCAUCUGGUCCAUUUCUUGCUGUGGCCACUCUGCUAAUGGACUUGCUGCAGAUUCCACCGCCAGAGAAUCUGAAAUCCCAAGAAAGGUCGCCUCAGCUUUCAAAAGGAUCUCUCCCUACACCCAAGAAAGGUCACCUCAGCAUUCACAGGGUCUCUCCCUACACCCAAGAAAGGUCGCCUCAGCUUUCACAGGGCCUCUCCCUACACCCAAGAAAGGUCGCCUCAGCUUUCACAGGGUCUCCCCCUACUCCGCAGCUGGACUUCGGGAACUUGGAACUUGCAGUGUGAUCUCCACUAGAGUCUACAAGGUGGGGUGGGGGGUGGGGAUUAGCCUUCAGAAGCAUCUGAUCCACAGGAGAAGGUGAGGAGCUACACAGAGACAGUUUUAUGCGGUUCAUUCCCAUGAUCCCAGCACCUGGAGGUAGAGGAAGGAUGAUCAGGAGUUUAAAGGUCAUCCUUGUCUGUACAGUGAGUUUGAGGCCAGCCUGGGCUAACAGAUCCUUUGUCAAAACAAAACCAAAACAAACAACAACCAGCAAUCAAAAAACAAAACCAAAAUCCCAAGAAACAAAUGAACAAAACACCCCUGGUGGUGGCUUAAUCCUUUCUGGGAAGAAACUAUGGCCAGGCCUUGUCAGGUCAGAGUAACAGACUGGUGUAAUUAAGCCCAGCUGACCUCUGCAUGAUGCUUGAUUUUUUUUUUUAAAGGCAGAAUCUUGUUCUGUACUGGUUGGUCUACAACUCUGCAUGUAGACCAG